AUAAAGGCUAUGAAAAGAAGAGUAGAUAUAUUAUGUAGUAACAGCGAGUUAGGGAAGGUGUGAGCCUAAUACGAAGAUUAUAUUGAAGAACAUCUUGGAGCCUCUAACCGAAAUCAUAAGAGAGUAGGCCUAGACGGUAAGUCCCGUUAUAGACUAUAAGCAAUGCUUACUAAGAGGUCAAUUUUUAUUGGCAAUUAGGGUGGUACCGCGAGAGUAACAGUCUUUCGUCCCUUUG
rnacentral:ncRNA from 1 species